UACGUAGGGGGCAAGCGUUGUCCGGAAUCAUUGGGCGUAAAGAGCGUGUAGGCGGCUUGGUAAGUCCGCUGUGAAAGUCCAGGGCUCAACCCUGGAAUGCCGGUGGAAACUGUCAAGCUUGAGUCCGGAAGAGGCGAGUGGAAUUCCUGGUGUAGCGGUGAAAUGCGCAGAUAUCAGGAGGAACACCGAUGGCGAAGGCAGCUCGCUGGGACGGUACUGACGCUGAGACGCGAAAGCGUGGGGAGCAAACAGG
rnacentral:rRNA from 1 species